CUUUCACACAAUGUGUCCUGUGAAGCAGAGCAGGAAUGAUUUGUAUUUAAUAGGAAUGUAUGAGUUGUCCGAAUUUUUUUGUGAAAAAAAGGUUAGCCAGCUCAUCACAAGCAUUUCAUGUGAAGCAUCAGGGUAUUUGGCAGGACCGGAACGUGGUAAGACAAACUGUGCAAGAUGUCAUAGCAAUCCCUGCCAAUCCAAAGGAUGGAGUUUUUCAUGCAAAACUUUGUGCACCUUGAUGGCCCAGCACCAAAACAAGCUCAGUGUCUGGGCUUGGGGAUUGACAGGGUAGGUGUUAUUUUGGAGUGGAAGCUGAUAUUCUUUGGAUCUAAAACAUGGCUACUCAAAGUCCACUUGAAAGCUUUAAAUCCCUUGUGAAAAAUAGAUGGAAAGCACUAAAUGCAUUCCAUAUUUGUUUGACAGAUGAAAUAUGAUCAGGGAGGCCAUGGUGCAGUGUCUCAUGAGUACAAGAGAAAACAAUACAACUUCUAGUCAUAAAAAUAUCUUUUUCUAAUUGCUUUGUAGGUGGUCUUUGAGGCUUUGCACAAUCUGGAGCCUCGUGGAUAUGUUGUCGGAUGGAUCAUUGCCAUCAGUUUGCUGGUGGGAAUUCUCAUCUUCCUAUUGCUUGCUGUGCUCUUAUGGAAGAUGGGCUUCUUCCGCCGGAGGUAUAAAGAAAUUAUUGAGGCCGAAAAGAGCAAAAAGGAGAAUGAAGAUAGUUGGAACUGGGUCCAGAAAAACCAGUGAACUGCCCAUGAAAACUAAAGCCCAGUCAUGUGACACGUGCUCACUAGCCUAUAGGUCCUGCUCUCAUAUCUUCCAUAUGUGGAAGAAGGAAUCUUCUCCAGAUUUUUCGGAGACCCAUUGAUGCUGUGUCUUUAUCACUCAAAAAAAACUAGGGAACAUAUCCUGAGGCAACCACUGUAGCCAUGUCAGGUGACUGGAGCAAUUCAUACUUCAUUUAAGAGUUGAAAUUUGAACUUUGGUAACCAAGCUGCAGUGCAGAGCAAUAUUUAUGAAUCCAACUAUUUGGUAUACCCUCAGGGGAAGACUGUUACCUAAAAAUAUAUUUUAUAAAUAUAAGCUUUUUAUAUUGAGUAUGUCUUUA